UAAUUUAAAAUAUAAAUUAUGUAUAUUCAUAACAUUUUCAAAUAUUAAAUUCAAAAAGGUUCAUUUUCUAUUCUCGUGUUUAAAGUUUUAACAACUUCUAAAUACAGGAAAAUGAUCAGAUUCACAAAAAAAUAUAUACCAAAUGAUAGCUUGGAAAUUCUCCAAGAUAUACUGAAAAAAGAGAUCCAGCACCACUUCCUUCAUACCUAAGACGUUCCAGUUUUUACCCACAAGAAUAUCAAAAUCCAAAAUGUGUCUAAUUUUACAAAGAAUAUAAUCAAUAUAUAAUGAAUAACUCAGAAAACAGUUUGCCUAUCAACAUACGUGAAAGAGUUUUAAAAAAUAUAAUAUUAAUAAAGAUAGUAUAUUUUAAAGUGCUUGAUCUCUAGA